GCCUUAAGAAGUUUAAUACAAACGCUGGUCUUGUAAAUCAGAAUAAGGCUAAAGCCCUAAGGCU
rnacentral:tRNA from 1 species